rnacentral:misc_RNA from 1 species
UUCGUUUUUUAAUUAAAAACUAGGAUGAAAGGUUAUACAUUCAAAUUUCUUUAUUAAUUUCUAAUUAAUAAUUUAUAUUAAAUAUAAAAAUAUACUUAUAAAAAAAAAAGACGACAAGACCCUAUUAAAUUUUACUUAUAGUUUAACUGGGGAAGUUUUUUAAUUAAAAUUUUUUAAAUUUAAUAAAUAAAAAUCUAAUAAAAUUAAAACUUUAACAAAUUACUAUAGGGAUAACAGCAUUAUAUUUUUUAAAAGUUCAUAUUAAAAAAAAUGAUUGUGACCUCGAUGUUGAAUUAUAUUUUCUAUAUUUAAUGCAAUAAUUAUAAAAGUAGAUCUGUUCGAUCUUUAAAAUAUUACAUGAUUUGAGUUCAAACCGGUGUAAACCAGGUUGGUUUCUAUCUUUUUAUAUAUUUUUCCAGUACGAAAGGACAAACAAAUUUUUAUUUUAAUAAAUUAGCAAAUAAAUGCAUUAGAUUUAGAAUCUAAAUAUAUUUAAUAAU